UACGGGGGGGGCAAGCGUUGUUCGGAAUUACUGGGCGUAAAGGGCUCGUAGGCGGCCAACUAAGUCAGACGUGAAAUCCCUCGGCUUAACCGGGGAACUGCGUCUGAUACUGGAUGGCUAGAGGUUGGGAGAGGGAUGCGGAAUUCCAGGUGUAGCGGUGAAAUGCGUAGAUAUCGGGAAGAACACCAAAGGCGAAAGCGCUCUGCUGGGCCGAAACUGACACUGAGAGACGAAAGCUAGGGGAGCGAAUGGG
rnacentral:rRNA from 1 species